AGAUCAGCGUGUGGAGAGGUGCGGGGUGGGCGGAACAGCAAUGGUGAAGUAUGUUUUUGAUGAAAACAGCAGGGUUGAGGCCAACCAAUGCCACACUGCAGAGUAAUGGAAGAGGCUGUGACCUGCAGUUUCGCAGGUGACACGCUUGAGUACCGAAGACGUGGAUGACGUUGAUACCAUCUUGUGUAGUUACUGUAGGGACACAACCUCCAGCUGUUGAAGGAUCAAGUUUGUCUUCCAUACAAGAACCGACUACGGAAGGCGCACAAGGUACACCAUUGAUGAAGAAGGUAAAGGGAUGGAGGCCGAGGGCAGACUACUGCACCCAUGAGGUCGACACACAUCCCUAGUUACAGCGGGCAGCCGCUGCGUUGGCCCUUCGGGGUUGUGGGUGCUCCGCCGGAACCCCCCCAAAGUGAUAAGGCUGCAGAUAGCUACGAAAUAUUCCCAUGAAUUGUAAAUAGUGUAAUGAAGUUAAUGCAACUUUCAUUUACUACGUAUAGAUGUAGUUAGUAAUUUAUUUAAACGUUA